rnacentral:rRNA from 1 species
GACGAACGCUGGCGGCGUGCUUAACACAUGCAAGUCGAACGGUGAAGGGACCGGUUUUUGCUGGUUCUGGCUGAGUGGCGAACGGGUGAGUAACACGUGAGUAACCUGCCCCCUUCUUCUGGAUAACCGCAUGAAAGUGUGGCUAAUACGGGAUAUUCUGCGCCUGCUGCAUGGUGGGUGUGGGAAAGAUAUUGUUUCGGUGGGGGAUGGGCUCGCGGCCUAUCAGCUUGUUGGUGGGGUGAUGGCCUACCAAGGCGGUGACGGGUAGCCGGCCUGAGAGGGUGGACGGUCACACUGGGACUGAGACACGGCCCAGACUCCUACGGGAGGCAGCAGUGGGGAAUAUUGCACAAUGGGCGCAAGCCUGAUGCAGCGACGCCGCGUGAGGGAUGGAGGCCUUCGGGUUGUAAACCUCUUUCGCCAGUGAAGCAGGCCUGUCCCUUUUGUGGGUGGGUUGACGGUAGCUGGAUAAGAAGCGCCGGCUAACUACGUG